UACGUAGGGUGCAAGCGUUGUCCGGAAUUAUUGGGCGUAAAGAGCUCGUAGGCGGUUUGUCGCGUCUGCUGUGAAAACCCGAGGCUCAACCUCGGGCCUGCAGUGGGUACGGGCAGACUAGAGUGUGGUAAGGGGAGACUGGAAUUCCUGGUGUAGCGGUGAAAUGCGCAGAUAUCAGGAGGAACACCGGUGGGCGAAGGCGGG
rnacentral:rRNA from 1 species